rnacentral:rRNA from 1 species
AACAGGAUUAGAUACCCUGGUAGUCCACGCCGUAAACGAUGUCGACUUGGAGGUUGUGCCCUUGAGGCGUGGCUUCCGGAGCUAACGCGUUAAGUCGACCGCCUGGGGAGUACGGCCGCAAGGUUAAAACUCAAAUGAAUUGACGGGGGCCCGCACAAGCGGUGGAGCAUGUGGUUUAAUUCGAUGCAACGCGAAGAACCUUACCUACUCUUGACAUCCAGAGAACUUAGCAGAGAUGCUUUGGUGCCUUCGGGAACUCUGAGACAGGUGCUGCAUGGCUGUCGUCAGCUCGUGUUGUGAAAUGUUGGGUUAAGUCCCGCAACGAGCGCAACCCUUAUCCUUUGUUGCCAGCGGUCCGGCCGGGAACUCAAAGGAGACUGCCAGUGAUAAACCGGAGGAAGGUGGGGAUGACGUCAAGUCAUCAUGGCCCUUACGAGCAGGGCUACACACGUGCUACAAUGGCGCAUACAAAGAGAAGCGACCUCGCGAGAGCAAGCGGACCUCAUAAAGUGCGUCGUAGUCCGGAUUGGAGUCUGCAACUCGACUCCAUGAAGUCGGAAUCGCUAGUAAUCGUAGAUCAGAAUGCUACGGUGAAUACGUUCCCGGGCCUUGUACACACCGCCCGUCACACCAUGGGAGUGGGUUGCAAAAGAAGUAGGUAGCUUAACCUUCGGGAGGGCGCUUACCACUUUGUGAUUCAUGACUGGGGUGAAGUCGUAACAAGGUAAGCCGU